rnacentral:rRNA from 1 species
GUGGGGAAUAUUGGUCAAUGGAGGAAACUCUGAACCAGCAACGCCGCGUGAAUGAUGAAGGUCUUCGGAUUGUAAAGUUCUUUUCUAAGGGAAGAAGAAAGUGACGGUACCUUAGGAAUAAGCCUCGGCUAACUACGUGCCAGCAGCCGCGGUAAUACGUAGGAGGCAAGCGUUAUCCGGAAUGACUGGGCGUAAAGGGUGCGUAGGUGGUUUGGCAAGUUAGUAGCGUAACCCCGGGGCUCAACCUCGGAACUACUACUAAAACUGUCGGACUUGAGUGCAGGAGGGGCAAUUGGAAUUCCUAGUGUAGCGGUGGAAUGCGUAGAUAUUAGGAGGAACACCAGUGGCGAAGGCGAAUUGCUGGACUGUAACUGACACUGAGGCACGAAAGCGUGGGGAGCAAACAGG